rnacentral:tRNA from 1 species
ACUUUAAAAGGAAAAGAGAUCUCCCAUGGCCUUAGGAACCAAACCUCUUGGUGCAAAUCCAAGUAAAAGUAAUG